AAGGGAAACAACCACUUCUGGGAUGUCCGCUGCAAUCUGCUCCGGGGCUGCAGCAACCUCAUCAGCUCUUGCCUGGAGUGGCUCAGCCUGGGCCUGCAGGGCCACCAGGAGAAUGGCAGCAAGGAUGGCGAGGGUCCUCAUGGCAGGGUGACCAGAGAGGGCAGACAGCAGUCCUCUGUCCCAGGUCUUCUAUAGCAAGGAGCAGCCGUGCACAAGUGGACUUCCCCUAUUUAAAGGUCUUUUGGGAUGAGGUGUCCUAAUUUCCGGGGUUACUUUCUGUUGGGUCCAUUAAAUAAUUGUGGUGGCAAGGACAGUUGAGAAAUUUGGUGGGAAGGUGAGGUUAAA
rnacentral:lncRNA from 1 species